rnacentral:rRNA from 1 species
GACAGAGGUGCCAAGCGUUAGGCGGAAUCACUGGGCUUAAAGCGUGUGUAGGCGGAUCUGUAAGUACCUUGUGAAAUCCCACGGCUCAACCGUGGAACUGCUUGGUACACUGCGGGUCUUGAGCCACCUAGGGGCAAGUGGAACAAACGGUGGAGCGGUGAAAUGCGUAGAUAUCGUUUGGAACGCCAAUGGUGAAAACAACUUGCUGGGGGUGUGCUGACGCUGAGACACGAAAGCCAGGGGAGCAAACGGG